AUUGAACGCUAGCGGCAUGCCUUACACAUGCAAGUCGAACGGUAACAGGUCUUCGGAUGCCGACGAGUGGCGAACGGGUGAGUAAUGCAUCGGAACGUGCCCAGUAGUGGGGGAUAGCCCGGCGAAAGCCGGAUUAAUACCGCAUACGACCUGAGGGUGAAAGGGGGGGAUCGCAAGACCUCUCGCUAUUGGAGCGGCCGAUGUCAGAUUAGCUAGUUGGUGGGGUAAAGGCCUACCAAGGCAACGAUCUGUAGUUGGUCUGAGAGGACGACCGACCACACUGGGACUGGGACACGGCCCAGACUCCUGCGGGAGGCAGCAGUGGGGAAUUUUGGACAAUGGGCGCAAGCCUGAUCCAGCAAUGCCGCGUGCAGGAAGAAGGCCUUCGGGUUGUAAACUGCUUUUGUCAGGGAAGAAAUCUUCUGGGUUAAUACCUCGGGAGGAUGACGGUACCUGAAGAAUAAGCACCGGCUAACUACGUGCCAGCCGCCGCCGUAACAC
rnacentral:rRNA from 1 species